rnacentral:lncRNA from 1 species
CUUAAACAACUUUAAAGUGAUGUGGGAGAAGAGAUAUUUACUGAAAGAAACACUUCUUUCACCAAAGACUGUGAAAUCAUAGAAUGGCCUGGGUUGAAAAGGACCACAAUGAUCAUGUAGUUCCAACCCCCCUGCUACGUGCAGAGUCUCCAACCACCAGACCAGGCUGCCCAGAGCCACGUCCAGCCUGGCCUUGAAUGCCUCCAGGGAUGGGGCAUCCACAACCUCCCUGGGCAACCUGUUCCAGUGCAUCGCCACCCUCUGGGUGAAAAACUUCUUCCUAAUAUCUAACCUAAACCUCCCCUGUCUCAGUUUAAAGCCAUUCCCCCUUUUCCUAUCACUGUUGACUGUCGUAAACAGCCAUUCCCCCUCCUGUUUGUACUCUCCCUUCAAGUAUUGGAAGGCCACAGGGAGGUCUCCCCGGAGCCUUCUCCAAGCUAAAAUCCUAUAGCCUCUCAUACAAGUUGUAACAAUGAGUGCCAAUUAGCAACACUAAUAUUUUUCUUCUGUCACCUCCAGUUUCCCUAGGCAGCACCAGGUCCUUCAUUUGUAUGCCAGUGUGGAGAGAGUUCACUGGGACAUAUUUUAUGUUUCAGUACCUGAUUUACAUUUGGUCUGCCAUAAUAAAGGCCAGAUGAUCACCUCUAUUAUGCAAAUGAAUGCACGGAAACAGCGAGGAAGUCAGUAACUUAAAGUGGCAGAAGGAACAAGUGCCAUUCUGUUCUUCUCCCUAUCCUUUGACCUUUCAAUAGCUUUCUUGCUUGCAAUUUUGAAUUCAAGGGGAAGGCUUCAGCCAGCCAACUGGAAAGUGAUGAAUUAAGUUAAAAAUCAUUUUAUGCCACAGCUGACGCUCAGCUUACACAGGGAAAGGUACACUGGAGAUAUAAAAGGUGUUCAAUAAAUAGAAGCCUUGUUACAUUUGGGCUGUAGCGCACAUAAACUCUCAGUAGUUUAAAUAAGUUAGAAUAAGUUGGUUGUUAAGACAUUGAAAGGCUUAUUUUAAUGGAAUGGUUAGGGAGAGAAAUAUAAACAAUCUACAUGUCGCUAACAGGAAAAUAUACUUAAAACAGCAGAUUACCUACUGACAUUUAUAUCUUUUGUUGUUUUAUGUUUGUCUUUUUAGAGAUAUUUUAACACUGAAAUAAUUUGAUAUUUUCCUUUUUCCUUCACAAAAAAUCUCUUGGCCUCAUCUGAAAAUGUACCGUGUUAGGCACCAACAUGUCCAAAAGCAGAGAUUACACCUUAGGGUUCCAGAAUUGAUUCCAUUCACUGAAGUUAAAUAGCCAAGUCACCAAGAACCUCUGGAACAAUUACAGUCAUAACGGAAGAGGUUUUUCUGACCAGCAGAUCUGUAUAGAAUUGCUUAUCCAGAUUUCUUGUAGGAACUGUUCCCAUCUCACUAUUGGUGGAACUUGAGAUCUGUGGUUUCCAUCUCAGACUAAAAGAGGGACCUGUGCAUCUGAAACAUUCUUUUGUUACAUCUCAUCAACUUGAUGAGAAGAUGUUGCCUCUCCUCACAGACCUUGUCUGCACAACUACUGAGAGAAAAAAUAUGAGAUAGAAUGGCAGUAACUCACAAAUGGUUUAACCCAAAAGCCCUCACAGAAAAAAACUGCCCUUACAAUCAGCACAGGUUUUGCCUAGUCAGGUUUUGACGCUAGAUUUCUAACAUAAAGCCCCUCCUAGAAGAUCUGAAAUAUCUAAGUUUAAUCACUAUCAGAUGUAUGUACAAAACAGAACAAGGGACAAAAUUUGACCUUUUGGUGACUGACCUACUAACAAAAGCAAGGUCUUUUGGGAUUUACCUCUUCAUGCUCAUGGUGUGGGGCAACAAGCCAGUAUAACAUCUGCUUAGUAUUAAUUGCAAAGCAAAUGUACAAUGCUGACACCAUUAAUCAGUUUGUCCAAGUGAAUAAAAUGUCAAAAACCGAUGUAAGAAAGCUUGGCUUUAAAAGCAAACAUUUCAUACAGAUCUGCAAGGGUCCAUCUAAUGAUGGAUAAGUUAACCCUGGAGGAUGAAGAACGACUCCAGCCUAAUGUUAGAGGUGAAAUGUAUGUAAACCUAGCUAAUUACACAAAUACUGUUAAAAAUUAGAGGUAUGGGAACUAGUUCUACACAAAUCAAUCACCUGCUGUCGUUGCCACAAAUAUCAGUAUGUGAUGUUAAACAGAAUGAAUCAAAACAUUCUGUUUUGAGUGCUACCUGCAAGUUGCAAGCUGUGCCCUUAAAACUAAGUAUUUUACCUUCGCAGAACUCCUAAAAAGUAGGUAGCUUCCCCUUUCCCUGCCUGUGCUGGGCCACAGUACCUAAAGGACAGACAUUUGUCAGAAUUAAUCAGGUUAGUACAAAAGAGUGCAGCAGUACUUGAAAUCUGGGCUUAAAUUACAGAUGAAAACUGAGGAUCAGUCAGUAAAGGGUGCUAUUAUUCCCUCAUGUAAUGAGGAGUAGAACAUCUGUCAGGGAAGGAGGAGGUAGAGAACACAAACACAUGGAAGAUAGAGAUGGAAAAAAUCUCUGCUAGCCAGCUUUAAAAUGUAGGACUAAUUCUAUGGCUUCGUCAAAUCUGGUUUUAAAUUUUUAAGGCUUUUGUGCUUCCAAGAUUCCCUUUGGGAUAUGUUUCUGGACUGUAGCAUAUUUGAGAUUCAGUAUAUUUUUUCCUGAUGUGCUAUUUUUUUUUUUAACCUGAAUUUCUUCCCACAAUUACCAGCACACCCCUUCAUAACACAGUAAAAAUUCACCUCCCUCAUAAACUCUGUAGCAUUCACUACAGCGCUGCCUUUCUUUUAGGGUCAGAUUCCGUUAUAUCUUCUCAGAAUACUGUGCCUUGUACUAUAAAUUUUCCAUGCUGGAAAUCAUCAAAAUUAUUCAAGGGUAGGGCUCUAGUCUUAAAAAACAAAAUAGACAUUGUUGGAAGAGGCACAAUAUGUCUUGAAAGUAUG